UACGUAGGGUGCGAGCGUUAAUCGGAAUUACUGGGCGUAAAGCGUGCGCAGGCGGCGCGUUAAGACAGGUGUGAAAGCCCCGAGCUUAACUUGGGAAUUGCGCUUGAUGACUGGCGAGCUGGAGUGUGGCAGAGGGAGGUGGAAUUCCACGUGUAGCAGUGAAAUGCGUAGAGAUGUGGAGGAACACCGAUGGCGAAGGCAGCCUCCUGGGCCAGCACUGACGCUCAUGCACGAAAGCGUGGGGAGCAAACAGG
rnacentral:rRNA from 1 species